UGGGGAAUAUUGGACAAUGGGCGAAAGCCUGAUCCAGCAAUACCGCGUGAGUGAUGACGGCCUUAGGGUUGUAAAACUCUUUCAGUAGGGAAGAUAAUGACGGUACCUACAGAAGAAGCACCGGCUAACUCCGUGCCAGCAGCCGCGGUAAUACGGAGGGUGCUAGCGUUGUUCGGAAUUACUGGGCGUAAAGCGUGCGUAGGCGGUUUGGCAAGUUGGAAGUGAAAUCCCGGGGCUCAACCUCGGAACUGCUUUCAAAACUGCCAAACUAGAGUAUGGUAGGGGAGAGUGGAAUUCCUAGUGUAGGGGUGAAAUCCGUAGAUAUUAGGAGGAACACCAGAGGCGAAGGCGACUCUCUGGGCCAUUACUGACGCUAAGGCACGAAAGCGUGGGGAGCAAACGGGAUUAGAUACCCCCGUAGUCC
rnacentral:rRNA from 1 species